rnacentral:rRNA from 1 species
UAGAGUUUUGUUCUGGCUCAGAUUGAACGCUGGCGGCAGGCCUAACACAUGCAAGUCGAGCGGAUGACGGGAGCUUGCUCCUUGAUUCAGCGGCGGACGGGUGAGUAAUGCCUAGGAAUCUGCCUGGUAGUGGGGGACAACGUUUCGAAAGGAACGCUAAUACCGCAUACGUCCUACGGGAGAAAGCAGGGGACCUUCGGGCCUUGCGCUAUCAGAUGAGCCUAGGUCGGAUUAGCUAGUUGGUGGGGUAAUGGCUCACCAAGGCGACGAUCCGUAACUGGUCUGAGAGGAUGAUCAGUCACACUGGAACUGAGACACGGUCCAGACUCCUACGGGAGGCAGCAGUGGGGAAUAUUGGACAAUGGGCGAAAGCCUGAUCCAGCCAUGCCGCGUGUGUGAAGAAGGUCUUCGGAUUAAGCACUUUAAGUUGGGAGGAAGGGCAGUAAGUUAA